GUAGUCACAGCUACUCGGGAAGCUGAGGCAGGAGAAUGGCGUGAACCCGGGAGGUGGAGCUUGCAGUGGGCCGAGAUGGCACCACAACACUCCAGCCUGGGCGACAGAGCGAGACUCUGUCUCAAAAUAAAUAAAUAAAUAAAUAAAUAAAUAAGAGUGGUUAUGUCUGGGUAUUGAGAUUAUAGGUUAUUUUACUUUUUUUUCAGUACAGAGUAUGGAGUGCAAAUUUUUACUUUUAAUAUUACAAUUUUUUAGUUUUUAGCCAAAACAAAUACCAAAAAUUCCCAAUUAACAUUUUAAGUUCCCAAUUAACAUUUUUUAAAAAGUUUUCCUGAGAAGUGAUUUGUUCAUUCAACAAAUAUUACCUAGUGGGUUCUUUCCCAUGAGAUGCAAUGCCAUUCUUUAACCCCAUUACUAAUACCAUUUCUAAGAGUAUAGAGUUUCAGUUUUGCAAGCUGAAAAAGUUCUAGAGAGCUGUUGCACAACAACGUGAACAUCAUUAACACUGUGGAACAGUAUUGUUGGAGUGUUUCCUGCAGAGCCUGAUGCAAUAUUCUGCACACACAACUGCUUAAGAAUAAGGUUCAGGCACCUGGUGUUCUGUUUGCUGCAAGUUCUUGCUCUCUCACUUUUGUCCUGGAGCUGCUCUAACUUGUGAGGCUGCUCAGUACCUAAUAUAACAUAAGGCUUGUUCUACCUCAGUGGCAGGCCAGUUUGGUGCUUUGGGAUAACUCUAUUUUUUUCUUUUUGGAGACCGGGUCUCACUGUGUCACCGAGGCUGCUGGAGUGCAAUGGCAUGAUCACAGCUCACUCCUGGCAAGAGAACCUCCUGCCUCAGCCUCCCAGUAGAUGAAACUACAGGUGUGAGCCACUGUGCCUGACCUGAGAUCACUUUCAAAAGCAGAAAAUGGACAUAGGAUUGCAACCCUCACACAUCCUCUAUGGUUCAGCCUCCUUCGCAGCAUCUUCAUGAAGGAGCAGACAUAAAAUCAGGCUGGAAGAUCAGACACUAUUUAGAAGAGAGCAGAUUUAUGUAAAGGUUUCUCAUAAUUAACCUAUUUUGAAACAUUGACGUCAGGUUGGAAUAAGUACUUCUUGUGACAAAAUUGGAUAAAUAAUUACCCUGCAGCUCCCCAGUCAAUAGCACUAUGGAAACCAAACCAGUAACCUGCUCUGGUAGCCCGUGACUACUGUGAACUUAUUUUAAAAAGGCAUAAUUUUACACACACACACACACACACACACACACACACACACACACACACACACACACAAAUCUUGUUUAAGGCAGGACAAUAAUAAAAUAAAAUUUAUUAAUGUUUUCAUAUGACUUUUCUCCCCAAGUGCUUAAUAUAAUUUUUUUUCCUGAAAUCCAGGGUACAGAGACCAGAUCCCAACUAUUCAGAAUUAAAUACCUCCAACUUUGAAUAUUACCUCUUUGUGAUGAAAUAAAGAGCAAAAGUAGAACUUCGACCUUCAUACAGUCAUGAAAAGCAAAACAAAAACCAUUAAUAGAGUGUUCUUACUAGUGCCUUUUAUUAUAGCCUACCUGCCUGCCUGCUCCCAGAUACAAACUGGCCCCCAGCCCCUAGAAAGCUUGAGUGCCCCAGAAGUGGUCAGCCCUGCACUGUGGACUAGAUGUAGGUCCCUAGUUGGUGCCUUCAAACUGUCUUCCACUCCGAUUGCCUUUUACCUCUAGAGUAAUUUAGAAAUAGAUGAUGUUUUGCUAUGGAAAGUUCUGCUUCUGGAGACAGGCCCAAACUUUGGAUUUGGAGAAAUUUUACAUCUGUUGCUUAAUAAUUCCCAACACACAUCACAAAACCCCCAAAAUCUGGGCACUUUAGUUCACCCCACCAAAAA
rnacentral:lncRNA from 1 species